CAGUACCUUUCAAGUUUGGGAAGAUAUAGCAGAACUGAUGCAAGGCUCUGUCAUCUCCUGUCCCCCAGGUUACAAACGGAUGCAGAAUACAGACAUGCUGAUGCUACUCUGAAAAAGCAAUGAAGCUGCAUUAAGAGCAUCAAGAUAAAAAAUGGCACAUCAACACUACCAGACUGAAAAUUUGGAUCAUUGUGGUCAGAUAUGGAAAAAUAAAUCCCAGAAAAGGGAAGAACCAUUUUGCUGGUGUCCUGGAGAACCAAGACAUUCAAUAUGGGGGAAAAAAAAGCCCUUCACAGCUACUUCUCCCACCCCAAAGGCCUCUUCAGGCUGUUUUUGCUCAUGUAGUUGGUUUUUAAUGAACGGAGUACUGAAAUUGCUGGAACAAAACCUCUCCCACAGAGGGCUCUGAAAGUCUGAGCACUCCUGUACAAAUCCAUCCGUAACUGCCAUCAGAAGUGCCACAUAAAGAGCACACAGGGCUCCUGGGGAAGGGCAGGGAAGGGCUAAGAAGUAAUUUCAUCCAAAUGGGAUAAGUUUGCUGUUCAUUACUUACUCUUGUUUAAAAGGUUGCUGUUGUCCAAUCAGGGCAGAAGCAGCAGUACCCCAAGAAAUGUCUGUAGCAAUCACAUCUUGAUGAAAAGUGCUUAUAAAACCAUCAAAAGAAGAAAAAUGUGCACAAGCUCUGAAGGCUGGAGGGCUCCUUCCUUCUCUUGGUUUGCUGUUUGAGGCAAGUUUUGAAAGCUUCUGCAGUUAUUGCAGAACAAACAAUACAUUAAUUUUCAUUUUGGGAGUUCUUGUUUUUGGUUUUUGGUGUUUGGUUUUUUUUUUUCUUUCCUCGUGCUUUUAAAAUUAAAUCCAGGAACAGAACUGUCAUUACAAAAUGUAAAAUUCAAUAUUUUCCAUUUUAAACACAUGGAAACAAAAUAAAAGCUCUCUUUUUCAGGUCAAUGGGACUCGUUCUUCUAUAUUAAAAUGAUUUUUCAUAUUCAAAAUGAAUGUGCAAGUAAUUUGCCUGAUGCAAGAAAUAUUUCUAGUAGUAGAAUGUUCGCCUGAAAAUUCUUCUCCACUCAUUAAAUAAAGGUUUUUCAAUAGUGAACAGAAGAUAAGGCUAUUCCCCAAAGCCCAAACAUUUUUACAUAUGGAUGCAGACAGUGGUUCACCAGGGCAAACAGCGG
ensembl:lncRNA